UUCUCUCCUAAAUCACAGAUAUUCUUAAGCUGGACUUGGCGUUUCUCAAUCUCUUUCCGUGUUGCCUUGCCCCAGGCAAUUUCAGCAUCCAAAUUGCUAGGCAUCCCUUGCACAGCUGAUCUCUUUGUCAAUUCCACAUCUGUUGCUGCAAGCCAUUCUGUCAGCGAAUUAAUUUCUUUUCGUAGCUUCCGGGACAAUUUCAAGCAUUUCUCUAACUCCUGCUUUUUUUCUGUCACCUUCGCACCCAAUUCAUUAUACUGCAACUUCAAAGCUGUAAGCCUUUCAUCCAGUUCUUUUGGGUUCUCUGUCUGCUGCUUUUGAACAAUCUGCCUCCCAGUUUUUAUCACUGUUUCCACUUCAGACUUCACCUCACUCAGGCUUUUAUAUAAUUUCAUGCAGUGGUCCAAAUGUGACUGCACUACUUCCUGCUCAACACUCUUCGUCUCC
rnacentral:lncRNA from 1 species